CAAAAAUACUGGAGUGUCAUUAACACCUCACCCUACUUCACCUCUCCAAAUGUGUGCUCAGAAGUCUCACAGGGCCAAAUCAAGGCUUCAAAAUCAAUACUGACCCUGAAAACAUUUAUCAUCUUGUGGCUCAUAACCAGGUAUUAUGAGGCAUGGAUGAGAGGAUAGUUUGUUGGUCUCCCAGAGCCACGACAGGCUCUGUGGUGUUUUACCCAUGCACCACAUUGGAUUCUUGAUUCAGCACCUUGGAAAUAAGCUCUCGAUGAAGCCACUGUGGUCCCAGCAGUAUCUAUGGCCACUGAGGAGGAGAUGGCAAGGAGAUGCCAUACAGCCCAGUAUGGGCACAAUGUGAAGAGCAAAAAAUGAUAACAGAGCUGACAGAAAACAAAACAAACAAACAAAAAACCCCAAACAAACGAAAAAAACAGUCAUAAAGACUCUUCUCCCUCUGCUUGUGUGUAAAAAAACAACCACUAGGUCAAAAUGGAAAUUUGGAUUGGAUGAAAUGGGCAUUCCUAUGGGAAAUGUCUGUUUUCAAUUCUGUAUCCUACACAAUGACUUAGAUCUGAUACUGUUCUGUUUUUCUCAAAAAAAAAAAAAAAAAAGCUUUUUAUUUCCAAAUUACAGCUAAACUUUUAAACUUAUGUAAUAGCCACUAAGUCUAAGCAUGUGAAAUAUUUGGCUAAAAAUUACAAAUGCUAUUUUCAUCUACAAUGUUUUAGUUUGUCCAUGUCCAAAACUUUACAGUUUCAGAUUCUGGAAAAAAAAAAAAAAGGCAACCAAAAGUUAUGAAAAACAUAUUGAAAUGGAAUAGCCUUCCCUAUCAGUAUUUUUAAUAUAUACAUACACACACACACACACACACACACACACACACACACACACACACACACACAUAUAUAUAUACAUAUAGCCAAAUCUAUGCAACAGACGUCCCCAUGAAGCAGGAAGAAACAUGAUACCCAGAAAUAUACAUCCCUUACUCCAUAUUGGGGAUGUUCCUGACAAUUACUGACCUCCAUCUGUAAAGCCAAUGUCACUUCUCAAGGAAAAACAAUCUUGACCCAGGAUACUUUGGAAAUAGAAGCAGUUGCAGUGAUCCCAAACUCCUCGCAGGCUUAGAUUCUUAGAUCUAAAAUACCAUUUGUGUUGAUGGGGGCAAAUUUCAACUCAGUGGGGGUGGACACUUUUUGGUGGUGAGAAGCAACAGAAGCAGGAAGUUCCGUCCAAACAUGAGGAAGAACUUCUUACUGUCAGAGUGACAGAGCAUUGGAACAGGCUGCCCAAAGAGAUGAUAGAGUCUCUUCUGGAGAUACUGAAAACUCGUUCAGAUGCUUUUCUGUGCUACCUGUUGCAGAGAACCUGCUUUAGCAGGAGGGUUGGCCUUGAUGAUCUCUAGAGGUCCCUUCCAAACCCUAGGAUUCUGUGGUUCGUUAAGUAACUACUCAAUGAAAUGAAUAAAAAAGCUCUCUGCUAAUCAGUAGAUCUUCUGUCUUUUACUGAGUCAUAUUCUGAGUGACAAAAAUGUUUUUUUUUUUUUUAAGUUGUAUUUUCUCCCAUUAACGCUGCAGAGAAACUGUAACAAUGAGUGAUCUAGAUGUUCUUUUGCGUCAGCAAGAGAUUUUUACUGAACUUUAUUCUAUUUCUCCCAUGCAAAGUCAUUAAAGGACGUUUUUAAUAGAGAACUUAAUUUUGUUUGAAGAACCUUUAGUGCCAGUAAUUCAUAAGGAGGCUGCUUUUCUUUAUAACGCUCUGGCCAUAAAAAAUACUGAUUUCAGUUCGGGUUGAGAUUGCUGCCUAAAAUCUUGGUCCUUUGUAACUAAGAUGUAUCUUCAUCAGGGCUGGUAGCGGUACACAUGAGGUUACUGACACAGUGCAGUUUAUAAACACAAUAUAUUAUUUCUUUCUUUGAUGGUUUUAUGGAAGAGAAAUAAACUUUAGUACAAAUUAUAAAAAAGGGAAAAUGUAAAACAGUUUGGCAGAAUGCUUACGUGAGUUGAAGAUGUGGGAAAAGAUACAGUUUGGAUAAAAGGAAAAUAUAGUAUGUAUAUACUUUUACGUAUGUAUACUGUAGUAUUAUAGUCUGGGUGUUAUGCAAAGAUGGUGAUUAAUCUCUAUUAAAACUUCACAACCCACCUCUAUUUUUUAUUCUUUUGCCAGAUAUUUUCUAUUCUGUCUGGAAGAUGUGGAAGUAUUUUUCUGGCUUGUAUUCAGUUUCUGUAAAAUGUUGACUAAGAAUUUAUCAUUCCUCUGAUUAAAUAAAAUUUGUACACAGAA
ensembl:lncRNA